AACAUCAACCAAUGGUUGCAAACUAGUGUUUGCAAGCAUAUGUCUCAAUAUGAAGCUAUCUCAUGGCUUAACAGAUGUGCAGCUAGGAUGCAUGCCUAUCUCUGUCUAGACCUUAGAUGAUACCAAGAGAAUGAUUCUCCAGUUGUACCCUGAUCCUGAACCUUCUCAUGGAUCUUGAAUUAGACCUAAGGGGCUAUUAGAUGGCAGUGCCUCAUCAAGACUUGCAUAGCAUGUUGCAACUGUGAGACUCAAUGGCCACUUUGAGUCCAAGAAUGGGAGCUGUCAAAGGGAGAUUGCAUUUGAAAUGACUCUCAGGUGAAGGACAGGGACUGCAUGUUCACUGAAGGUCACUCUGCAGUGAAAGUAAUUCUAUGCAACAGGACACAGUUUGGGUCUGAGGAGCUGGAUCAGUUCCAAUGCAUUAAGAUCAGUGUUGUUGAAAGAUAUCUGUGAUAGACCAGUGGUAUACUGACAGAUCACCUGUGGGAAUAAACAGCCUAAGGGUGUCUGCAUGGUGGCACCUUGUACUCAUGGAAGCAUGACAUUGCUGUAGCAUCACCUUCCAGAAAAGAGCACAGUCUGGGACAUACCUGUUCACAGGAGGUAAAGUACUUACUGCUGGUUUGCAAGGAGCAGCAUAACAAGGUCUUAUUUGGAAACUUUAAUUCAACUCAAGAAGAUCCAGUAAUUUUUCUAAGUGAGACGAUCUGUGAAGAUCAUGCCUGCAAAGAACUGUGAAGGCAAGCAGCUAGGCUCUCUUUACUGAAUGUGCUAAGAGCAUGAAAUAUAUCUCUUAUAUUUACAGUUAUAGAAAUAAAGUUAUAUUCUAGAAAUAUAA